rnacentral:rRNA from 1 species
AGCGUACACGGUGGAUGCCCUGGCAGUCAGAGGCGAUGAAGGACGUGCUAAUCUGCGAAAAGCGCCGGCGAGGUGAUAUGAACCUUUGACCCGGCGAUGUCCGAAUGGGGAAACCCAGUGCAAUCCGUUGCACUAUCGUUAACUGAAUACAUAGGUUAACGAGGCGAACCGGGGGAACUGAAACAUCUAAGUACCCCGAGGAAAAGAAAUCAACCGAGAUUCCCCCAGUAGCGGCGAGCGAACGGGGAGCAGCCCGGAGUCUGAAUCAGCUUGUGUGUUAGUGGAACGGUCUGGAAAGUCCGACGGUACAGGGUGAUAGUCCCGUACACGAAAGCACACAUGCUGUGAACUCGAAGAGUAGGGCGGGACACGUGGUAUCCUGUCUGAAUAUGGGGGGACCAUCCUCCAAGGCUAAAUACUCCUGACUGACCGAUAGUGAACCAGUACCGUGAGGGAAAGGCGAAAAGAACCCCGGCGAGGGGAGUGAAAAAGAACCUGAAACCGUGUACGUACAAGCAGUGGGAGCCUCUUUAUGGGGUGACUGCGUACCUUUUGUAUAAUGGGUCAGCGACUUAUAUUCUGUAGCAAGGUUAACCGUAUAGGGGAGCCGAAGGGAAACCGAGUCUUAACUGGGCGUUAAGUUGCAGGGUAUAGACCCGAAACCCGGUGAUCUAGCCAUGGGCAGGUUGAAGGUUGGGUAACACUAACUGGAGGACCGAACCGACUAAUGUUGAAAAAUUAGCGGAUGACCUGUGGCUGGGGGUGAAAGGCCAAUCAAACCGGGAGAUAGCUGGUUCUCCCCGAAAGCUAUUUAGGUAGCGCCUCGUGAACUCAUCUUCGGGGGUAGAGCACUGUUUCGGCUAGGGGGCCAUCCCGGCUUACCAACCCGAUGCAAACUACGAAUACCGAAGAAUGUUAUCACGGGAGACACACGGCGGGUGCUAACGUCCGUCGUGAAGAGGGAAACAACCCAGACCGCCAGCUAAGGUCCCAAAGUCAUGGUUAAGUGGGAAACGAUGUGGGAAGGCACAGACAGCCAGGAUGUUGGCUUAGAAGCAGCCAUCAUUUAAAGAAAGCGUAAUAGCUCACUGGUCGAGUCGGCCUGCGCGGAAGAUGUAACGGGGCUAAACCAUGCACCGAAGCUGCGGCAGCGACGCUUAUGCGUUGUUGGGUAGGGGAGCGUUCUGUAAGCCGUUGAAGGUGUCCUGUGAGGGGUGCUGGAGGUAUCAGAAGUGCGAAUGCUGACAUAAGUAACGAUAAAGCGGGUGAAAAGCCCGCUCGCCGGAAGACCAAGGGUUCCUGUCCAACGUUAAUCGGGGCAGGGUGAGUCGACCCCUAAGGCGAGGCCGAAAGGCGUAGUCGAUGGGAAACAGGUUAAUAUUCCUGUACUUGGUGUUACUGCGAAGGGGGGACGGAGAAGGCUAUGUCAGCCGGGCGACGGUUGUCCCGGUUUAAGCAUGUAGGCGGAGGUUCCAGGUAAAUCCGGUACCUUGUUAACGCUGAGGUGUGAUGACGAGGCACUACGGUGCUGAAGUGAUAAAUGCCCUGCUUCCAGGAAAAGCCUCUAAGCAUCAGGUAACACGAAAUCGUACCCCAAACCGACACAGGUGGUCAGGUAGAGAAUACCAAGGCGCUUGAGAGAACUCGGGUGAAGGAACUAGGCAAAAUGGUGCCGUAACUUCGGGAGAAGGCACGCUGAUAUGUAGGUGAAGUCCCUGCGGACGGAGCUGAAAUCAGUCGAAGAUACCAGCUGGCUGCAACUGUUUAUUAAAAACACAGCACUGUGCAAACACGAAAGUGGACGUAUACGGUGUGACGCCUGCCCGGUGCCGGAAGGUUAAUUGAUGGGGUUAGCGGCAACGCGAAGCUCUUGAUCGAAGCCCCGGUAAACGGCGGCCGUAACUAUAACGGUCCUAAGGUAGCGAAAUUCCUUGUCGGGUAAGUUCCGACCUGCACGAAUGGCGUAAUGAUGGCCAGGCUGUCUCCACCCGAGACUCAGUGAAAUUGAACUCGCUGUGAAGAUGCAGUGUACCCGCGGCAAGACGGAAAGACCCCGUGAACCUUUACUAUAGCUUGACACUGAACACUGGUCCUUGAUGUGUAGGAUAGGUGGGAGGCUUUGAAGCGUGGACGCCAGUCUGCGUGGAGCCAACCUUGAAAUACCACCCUUUAAUGGCUGGUGUUCUAACGUAGACCCGUAAUCCGGGUUGCGGACAGUGUCUGGUGGGUAGUUUGACUGGGGCGGUCUCCUCCCAAAGAGUAACGGAGGAGCACGAAGGUUGGCUAAUCCUGGUCGGACAUCAGGAGGUUAGUGCAAUGGCAUAAGCCAGCUUGACUGCGAGCGUGACGGCGCGAGCAGGUGCGAAAGCAGGUCAUAGUGAUCCGGUGGUUCUGAAUGGAAGGGCCAUCGCUCAACGGAUAAAAGGUACUCCGGGGAUAACAGGCUGAUACCGCCCAAGAGUUCAUAUCGACGGCGGUGUUUGGCACCUCGAUGUCGGCUCAUCACAUCCUGGGGCUGAAGUAGGUCCCAAGGGUAUGGCUGUUCGCCAUUUAAAGUGGUACGCGAGCUGGGUUUAGAACGUCGUGAGACAGUUCGGUCCCUAUCUGCCGUGGGCGCUGGAGAAUUGAGGGGGGCUGCUCCUAGUACGAGAGGACCGGAGUGGACGCAUCACUGGUGUUCGGGUUGUCAUGCCAAUGGCACUGCCCGGUAGCUAAAUGCGGAAAAGAUAAGUGCUGAAAGCAUCUAAGCACGAAACUUGCCCCGAGAUGAGUUCU